CUUCAGGGAGCCGAGCCAGAGCGGACGGUCCGCCGGGCGUUCCCGGCCGUACGUGGCGAGCAGCGCCUGGGCCUC
rfam:Micromonospora echinospora strain DSM 43816 genome assembly, chromosome: I